GGCUCAGGACGAACGCUAGCGGCGUGCCUAAUGUAUGCAAGUCGAGCGGGAGCCUUCGGGCUCUAGCGGCGAACGGUUGAGUAACACGUAGACUACCUGCCUCCGAGUGGGGGAUAACAGCUCGAAAGGGCUGCUAAUACCGCAUACGGUGCUUCGAAGCCUUUCGGAGUGACCAAAGGAGCAAUUCGCUGGGAGAUGGGUCUGCGGCCUAUCAGCUAGUUGGUGGGGUAACGGCCUACCAAGGCGACGACGGGUAGCUGGUCUGAGAGGAUGAUCAGCCAGACGGGGACUGAGACACGGCCCCGACUCCUCCGGGAGGCAGCAAUGAGGGAUAUUGCACAAUGGGGGAAACCCUGAUGCAGCGACGCCGCGUGGGUGAGGAAGUCCUUCGGGAUGUAAAGCCCUUUUCUCGGGGACGAUACCAGACGGUACCCGAGGAAUAAGCCCCGGCUAACUACGUGCCAGCAGCCGCGGUAAUACGUAGGGGGCAAGCGUUGUCCGGAUUUACUGGGCGUAAAGCGCGCGUAGGCGGAACGUUAAGUCCGGUUUGAAAGCCCCCGGCUCAACCGGGGAGAGUGGCUGGAAACUGGCGUUCUGGAGGGCGAUAGAGGAGAGUGGAAUUCCUGGUGUAGCGGUGAAAUGCGUAGAUAUCAGGAGGAACACCCGUGGCGAAGGCGGCUCUCUGGAUCGACCCUGACGCUGAGGCGCGAAAGCGUGGGGAGCGAACGGGAUUAGAUACCCCGGUAGUCCACGCCGUAAACGAUGGUCACUAGGUGUGUGCGGUAUCGACCCCGCACGUGCCGCAGCUAACGCAAUAAGUGACCCGCCUGGGGAGUACGGCCACAAGGUUGAAACUC
rnacentral:rRNA from 1 species